rnacentral:rRNA from 1 species
UACGGAGGGUGCGAGCGUUAAUCGGAAUUACUGGGCGUAAAGAGCACGUAGGUGGUUUGGUAAGUCGGAUGUGAAAGCCCCGGGCUUAACCUGGGAAUUGCAUUCGAAACUGCCUCACUAGAGUCUAGCAGAGGGAUGCGGAAUUCCGGGUAGUAGGCGGUGAAAUGCGUAGAAGAUCCGGAGGAACAUCAGGUGGCGAAGGCGGCAUCCGUGGGCUCAA